GACGAACGCUGGCGGCGUGCUUAACACAUGCAAGUCGAACGGAAAGGCCCUGCUUUUGUGGGGUGCUCGAGUGGCGAACGGGUGAGUAACACGUGAGUAACCUGCCCUUGACUUUGGGAUAACUUCAGGAAACUGGGGCUAAUACCGGAUAGGAGCUCCUGCUGCAUGGUGGGGGUUGGAAAGUUUCGGCGGUUGGGGAUGGACUCGCGGCUUAUCAGCUUGUUGGUGGGGUAGUGGCUUACCAAGGCUUUGACGGGUAGCCGGCCUGAGAGGGUGACCGGCCACAUUGGGAAUGAGAUACGGCCCAGACUCCUACGGGAGGCAGCAGUGGGGAAUAUUGCACAAGGGGCGGAAGCCUGAUGCAGCAACGCCGCGUGCGGGAGGACGGCCUUCGGGUUGUAAACCGCUUUCGCCUGUGACGAAGCGUGAGGGACGGUAAUGGGUAAAGAAGCACCGGCUAACUACGG
rnacentral:rRNA from 1 species